CACCAAGUCCUAUAGUAACACCACCUUCUCCAGUGAAGGCACCACCAACACCACCUUUAGUUAAAUCACCACCUAUUGUGAAAGCACCUUCUCCACCAUUGGUGAAAACACCACCAUAUCAAUCACCACCAGUGAAACCAACACCACCUAUUGUGAAAUCACCUCCUUCUCCACCAUUGGUAAAAUCACCACCUUAUCAAUCACCACCUAUUGUUAAGGCACCUUCUCCCCCUCUAGUGAAACCAACUCCACCUAUUGUGAAAUCACCUCCUUCUCCUCCUUUGGUGAAAACACCACCUUAUCAAUCACCACCUAUAGUGAAGGCACCACCAACUCCUCCACCUAUUGUGAAAACACCUCCUUAUCAAUCACCACCAAUAGUUAAACCACCAGUUGCUCCAUCUCCACCACCUACUCCAAUAGUCAAAUCAUGGAAGGGUAAGUCAAUUUCCAUUUACAUGUCUUUAAUAUGUAACAUUUUAAUAACACAUAAGACUAUGUUCAUGUUUCUAAAUUGUGGUCUCAAUAUAAUAGUUUAGAAUUUAGAACCAUACUUAACCACUAAAAUUUUAGUAUAAAUAUUUAUAUAAAAAGAUAUGAUUAGAUGUUUGGCAUAAAAAAAAUUUGCAAUUUUUUUGGUACUAGAGAGGACCACAUGCCUAACUUAGUAACUCUACUUGUACAUAGUAAUUGAAUUCUAAGACUUGUACAUAUGUCCAAUUUAGUUUACAUUUUUAUUUUAUUUGAAAGAACAUUUUAUUUAUUAUAUAUCAAGUAUCUUAAAUUCACAUAUAUAUUGUGGUAACAUGUUAGUGAAAAGUAG
rnacentral:lncRNA from 1 species